rnacentral:tRNA from 1 species
GGGGUUGUGGCUCAGUGGUAGAGAGCUCACCUAGCACAUGAGAGGCCCUGGGUUCAAUCUUCAGCACCACA